rnacentral:rRNA from 1 species
AGCGAACGCUGGCGGCAGGCCUAACACAUGCAAGUCGAACGAACCCUUCGGGGUUAGUGGCGGACGGGUGAGUAACACGUGGGAACGUGCCUUUAGGUUCGGAAUAACUCAGGGAAACUUGUGCUAAUACCGAAUGUGCCCUUCGGGGGAAAGAUUUAUCGCCUUUAGAGCGGCCGGCGUCUGAUUAGCUAGUUGGGGAGGUAAUGGCUCACCAAGGCUACGAUCAGUAGCUGGUCUGAGAGGAUGACCAGCCACAUUGGGACUGAGACACGGGCCAAACUCCUACGGGAUGCAGCAGUGGGGAAUCUUGAGCAAUGGGCGAAAGCCUGACGCAGCCAUGCCGCGUGGAUGAUGAAGGUCUUAGGAUUGUAAAAUCCUUUCACCGGUGAAGAUAAUGACUGUAGCCGGAGAAGAAGCCCCGGCUAACUUCGUGCCAGCCGCCGCCGUAACAC